UGCUGUUUCUCACUCUGUUUCUCUCAUGAAGAUGUUCCAACACACACAGACAUACAAGGCUAUAUACAUGGCACAUCUAUAUAGCCUUCACACUUUAAUUAACAAACAUGUACACCAGACAAAAAAAUGGUAAGAUAUUUGCUUGUUUUAUUGACUUCAAGAAAGCAUUCGACUUUGUUUGGCAUGAAGGACUUUAUUACAGACUUUUACAUUGUGGUAUGGGGGCAAAAAUGUAUGAUCUGGUUAAAUCAAUGUAUUUGGAAAAUAAAUGUGCUGUAAAAAUUGGAGACAAACAAACUGAAUUCUUCAACAAGAGAAGAGGUGUUCGUCAGGGCUGCAACUUAAGCCUGACUUUGUUUAAUGUGUAUAUAAAUGAACUUGCUGUACAAUUGGUGUGGAUGUCAGCCACCUUAUCCUCCCCUGCCCUGUGUUCUCUGUUGUAUUCUCCUUUACUGGUGUGUCUUGUAUCUGGCGUUGGUGUUGUGGGAGAGCCUGGUAUUUAAAUUGUGGAGACUGAUGGAUGAUUGGAGACAGGUGUGCCGGUGAUCAGCAGCAGGCGGGAAACCACGGAGCCAGGCCAGGAGACACACACACAUAUACACACACACACGGGUGAGCUCGGUGAAACUCCCUCACCAUCCGAUCAAGGAUGCGGGAGUGGGAAACCCAGGACCGCUCCUCCGGACCAAAUCCUUCCCAAUCCACGAGGUAUUGGAACCCCCUCCCAUGGCGGCGCACGUUCAUGAGACGCCUGGAAGAGACUGGCUUGAGUUGGGAUACAUGAAAGAAACAAAGCGGCAGUUCCAAACCUGGUUCUGGUGUCGUUGAGCCGGGGAGGAGGGGCCAACUUUGAAGACACCGCAGGGCCUCUGGAUGGAAAUUCUCACUUUACAUUCUCAUAAUUUCUCACUCAACCACAGGAGACUGUCAUUGAGGUCAACAUGAGUAAAAAGGUGAGAGGACAUCUGAUGAAACUCCACUCAAACAAGGCUGCAGGCCCCGAUGAAGUUUGCCAGGGGUGCUAAAGGCCUGUGCCCCCCAGCUAUGUGGAGUCCUUCAACAUGUCUUCAACUUGAACCUGAGUCUUCAAAGGGUCCCUGUUCUGUGGAAGACAUCUUGCCUCGUUCCCGUGCCGAAGACGUCGCAUCCC